rnacentral:rRNA from 1 species
UACGGAGGGUGCAAACGUUGCUCGGAAUCAUUGGGCGUAAAGCGCACGUAGGUGGCCUGUUAAGUCGGGUGUGAAAUCCCUGGGCUCAACCCAGGAAGUGCACUCGAAACUGGCAGGCUUGAGUACUGAAGAGGGUCGCGGAAUUCCCGGUGUAGAGGUGAAGUUCGUAGAUAUCGGGAGGAACACCAGUGGCGAAGGCGGCGACCUGGGCAGAUACUGACACUGGGGUGCGAAAGCGUGGGGAGCAAACAGG